GACGAACGCUGGCGGCGUGCCUAAUACAUGCAAGUUGAGCGCUGAAGGUUGGUACUUGUGCCAACUGGAUGAGCAGCGAACGGGUGAGUAACGCGUGGGGAAUCGCCUUUUAGGCGGGGGACAAAAUUGGGAAAGAAUUCCAAAUACGCCAUAAAACCUUUAACCAAAGGUUUAAGGUUGGAAGGAGCCAUUGCCAUACUCAAAGAUGGAUCCGCGUUUUUUUUGCUUGGUGGGGAGGGAAAGGCCCACCAAGGCGAUGAUACCUAGGCGACCUGAGAGGGUGGUCGGCCACAUUGGGACUGGGACACGGCCCAAGCCCCUUCGGGAGGCAGCAGUAGGGAAUCUUCGGACAUGGACGAAAGUCUGGCCGAGCAACGCCGCGGGAGUGAAGAAGGUUUUCGGAUCGUAAAACUCUGUUGGUAGAGAAGAACGUUGGUGAGAGUGGAAAGCUCAUCAAGUGACGGUAACUACCCAGAAAGGGACGGCUAACUACGUG
rnacentral:rRNA from 1 species